AUGUUGGACAGCGACACUGAGUCAGUCAUGUCCGGCAACGACGGUACCAAGGCCAACAAGAAUGGCGAUAAGGUGAAGAAGGGCGGCAAGUCAGCGACCAGUGGUGGCGGAACGGGUGGCGCCAAUGUACGUGCGCAUCGCAACAUCCCCAUCCAGUACCCAAUGCUCACCGACGCCAACUACGGCAUGUGGGCGGUCAACAUGAAGAUUAUUCUCCGAACCCUACGAGUGUGGGAGGCCAUCACAGACGACGACGUCGACAAGGAGUGCGACGAAGGUGCCAUGGCCGCCAUAGCCCAGAUCGUGCCGGAUUCUGUGCUGAUGACAUUGGCGGAGUUUGAGACAGCAAGAGAGGCGUGUAACACACUCAAAGAGAUGAGGAUCGGAGAAGAUCGCGUCACGAAGGCUCGGGCACAAGUGCUGAAGCGCCAAUUUCACAAGUUGCAGAUGGAGGAAACUGAAUCGGUGAACGACUAUGCCAUGCGUCUGUCUACUUUGAUGGGAGAGAUACUUGCGCUUGGUGCAAAGCUCGAGUAA
rnacentral:rRNA from 1 species